rnacentral:rRNA from 1 species
AACGUAGGACGCAAGCGUUAUCCGGAGUUACUGGGCGUAAAGCGCGGGCAGGCGGUCUGACAAGUGGGUUGUGAAAUCGCCCAGCUUAACUGGGCGAGGCCAAUCCAAACUGACAGGCUGGAGGGCAGUAGAGGCAGGCGGAAUUCCGGGUGGAGUGGUGAAAUGCGUAGAGAUCCGGAGGAACACCAGAGGCGAAGGCGGCCUGCUGGGCUGCACCUGACGCUGAGCCGCGAAAGCCAGGGGAGCGAACGGG